CUCUCAUCGCAAGGUGUGCUCCCCGACGCAUCUCCUUUCCCUACUAAUCCUCUCCUCCUCGUUCCCCUCCUCGCAAAGGCCAACAAAAAAUUCAAGCUUUGGUCCACAAAUCACUUAUGUCCACAGGGAUCGUUUGGUGAAAAUAAGUUGGCCUCAUUUGUGAUGGAAGGGGCACAAGGAGCCUCAAAUAAUGCGGCAAAACACAAGCAAAGAAAGUUUCCUGUGCAUAGAUGGAGGCCAAUUUCGACAGAACACAAGCAAAGAAAGUUUCCUGUGCGUAUAUGGAGGCCAAUCUCGACAGAAGCAAUUUCCCAAAAAGAGGACGAUAAUGAGACAUCAAAUUCGGGAAGCAAACAAAUCAUAGAGAAUUGCAUUACUACUAGCGAGGAUUUGGCCAUAGAUGGAACAACUAAUGCUGUUAUUGAAGUAACCACCAAUGAUGCUUCAUCAUCAGAAAAUAAUGUAAGUCUUGAAUCAAGUUCAACUAAAGUAGUUAUACAAGACAAUGUGGAGGUAUCUGGCUUCAAUAAGGAUAUAGAUGGGUCUCAUGUCUCCAAAAACUAUUCCUCCUCUAUUGAGGUAGAUGUUCCUCUGAUGCACUUUGUGAAGGGAAACGGUGGGUGUAUGCAGAAGCAGAUUGAAGAUGAUACUGGAGUCAAAAUUAUCUUCCCAUCUUCAGAGGAGGAGACUUCUGUUGUCCUUGAAGGUAAAAGUGUUGAAAGUAUUAGAAAAGCGUCACAGAAGAUUGCAAAUGUUCUUGAACAGGCUGUUCAAAGUCGAAUGCUAGACUACUCUCAUUUCAUAUCACUUCCAUUGGCUAUCCACCCGGAUCUUGUCGACAAGCUGAACUACUUCCAGAGCUCGAUCCUUGGGUCUUCUGCUUCUAAUGAAGACAGUGAUAAAGAUGAGAGCCUAAGUAAAGGUUCUAUUGAUGAAAUGGAUCAUGAUCACAAGCAAGAUGAUGGCUCAAGUGUGUCAAUCAAGCUUCAAGUCCAAGAAGGAGAGUCUGUCAGAGUGAAAAUGGAUACCAAAGGCUCCCUAUCAGAUUUCGGCAUUGACAAGUCAAUAUUUAUCAAACCCAAAACAUUUCACCUAACGGUUCUUAUGUUGAAGUUGUGGAACAAGGAUCGUGUAGCUAAGGCUUCGGAUCUGCUCCAGUCAAUAUCUUCCCAAGUAAAUGAAGCUUUGGAAAACCGACCUAUCUCCAUACAACUUAGAGGUCUGACAUGCAUGAAAGGCUCGCCAGCUAGGGCUCGGGUGGUAUAUGCUCCAGUGCUGGAAGUUGGUGGAGAGAGGCGCUUAGCACGUGCUUGCAAAGUCAUAAUUGAUGCCUUUGUCAAGUCAGGCCUAGUUCUUGAAAGGGAUGCAAGACAAGAAUUGAAGUUGCACGCGACCAUAAUGAAUGUGCGGUACAGGAAGAGCAAGAAUCAGAACCAAUGGAACGAUUCAUUUGAUGCUCGGGAUAUAUUCAGAAAAUACGGGAAAGAGGAGUGGGGUGAAUAUCUCAUUCCUGAGGUUCAUCUUUCUCAGAUAUUCAAGUUUGAUGAAAGUGGGUACUACCAUUGCUGUUCGUCAAUCCCCUUGCCCGCAGAGAUGCAAACGGAGUGAGGUCUGCAAUUCGUCAUGUCUUGUGCUUGGAUGUUGUGCAUGCCAAUGGUAGUGGGCUCUCCUCCCUGUAGAGAUCAAUCUGUUGGUGUUAGUUGACAUUGUUUUUUUAUGUGGCCCACAUACAAUCAGCCGACAGUCACUCUAUGUCCCGUCAGCUAAAAAGCAGCUUUAUUUCUGCCCAAAUUCUCAGUCCACAUACUAAGGACACUGCAAUAUCUCAAGUAGAUUCGAGCUGUUGUGCAGAUAUGACGAGCCGGCCUAUCUGCAGUCUGCUAGUACUUGUGCCAAGAUAUCCGUGAUGUUCCAUGUGAGACGACAAACGUGGAGUGUGCAUUAGUGCUAGUACUUGUUACUCGUCUGCCUCCACUAUUUCUUGUUUCUUUCAAGAAACGUGUAUGCUUUUAUUAACAAUGUACAUGUUGAUUUAAGGGUCUUGAUCGGAAGCAUUAUGCUCGUUGAGAUUGACGAUC